GUGUGCGGUCCCGUGCGCGGCGGCAGCGGCCGGAGCGCGGUGAGGCGGCGGCGGAGCUCGGAGGCGGCCGCAGCGCAGGAUUUCCCUUUGCCAACUUCUUGGAGGCUGCGAGGAAGAGGCCUGGGACACUGACGAAGAGCAGGAGCUGAGCAUGGAGAGCAGGGAGGACAAAUGCCCGCGGCAGAACCUGGUGGAAGAG